GAUGAACGCUGGCGGCGUGCCUAAUACAUGCAAGUCGAGCGAACAGACGAGGAGCUUGCGCCUCUGACGUUAGCGGCGGACGGGUGAGUAACACGUGGAUAACCUACCUAUAAGACUGGGAUAACUUCGGGAAACCGGAGCUAAUACCGGAUAAUAUAUUGAACCGCAUGGCUCAAUAGUGAAAGACGGUUUUGCUGUCACUUAUAGAUGGAUCCGCGCCGCAUUAGCUAGUUGGUAAGGUAACGGCUUACCAAGGCAACGAUGCGUAGCCGACCUGAGAGGGUGAUCGGCCACACUGGAACUGAGACACGGUCCAGACUCCUACGGGAGGCAGCAGUAGGGAAUCUUCCGCAAUGGGCGAAAGCCUGACGGAGCAACGCCGCGUGAGUGAUGAAGGUCUUCGGAUCGUAAAACUCUGUUAUUAGGGAAGAACAAAUGUGUAAGUAACUAUGCACGUCUUGACGGUACCUAAUCAGAAAGCCACGGCUAACUACGUG
rnacentral:rRNA from 1 species